UGUGUAGGUGGCGCACUAAGUCGGAUGUUAAAUUCCACGGCCUAACCGUGGAGCCGCAUUCGAGACUGGUGGGCUAGAGACUGAAAGAGAGGAAUGGAAUUCUCGGAGUAGCGGUCAAAUGCGUAGAUCUCGAGAGGAACAUCAAUGGCGAAGGCAGUUCCUUGGUUCAAGUCUGACACUAAAGCACGAAAGCGUGGGGAGCAAACA
rnacentral:rRNA from 1 species